rnacentral:rRNA from 1 species
GACGUAGGGCGCGAGCGUUGUCCGGAAUUAUUGGGCGUAAAGAGCUCGUAGGCGGCUUGUCGCGUCGGCUGUGAAAUCCCGUGGCUCAACUGCGGGUCUGCAGCCGAUACGGGCAGGCUAGAGUUCGGUAGGGGAGACUGGAAUUCCUGGUGUAGCGGUGAAAUGCGCAGAUAUCAGGAGGAACACCGGUGGCGAAGGCGGGGUCUCUGGGGCCCGAUACUGACGUGAGGAGCGAAAAGCGUGGGGGGAGC